rnacentral:lncRNA from 1 species
CCACAGGAGGCCCCACCGUGUCAGAAGUGGCUGCUGUGCGCCUGUGUGAUCAUAUACAGGCGUGGAGGCAGAAACAUCCCGCUAAGCCUUGGCUGCAGAGAGGAGAAGGUGCAUUUUGACUGGAACCCACCGUAAACUGGUUUGGGUUUCGUUUAGUUUCUGUAGGCAGGCUGGAGGGGUGAAGUCUAAGGAAGCGAUAUUCUGUCUUGCGCAUCUUGAACAUAGUGACUGAAGAAAGCAAAGUUCUUUGGCUGGCACACCUUUGAAAUCAACAGCUUUUUAAAAGUCAGGUUUUGGAGUUCUGUAUCUGUAAUGAUGAAGAGAUGAAAGCAGAGUUGGCUCUCUGGAAAAAUGGUAGCACCUAGGAAACAGAGAAGAAAUACACCUGACAUACCUGGACUGGAGAUGGUGACAAAAUAGAAUACGCAGACAUCCCAAACAACCUUCUUUAACUUUG